GGAUUCAUUUCUAUUAUGCCUCCAUGAUCUCUUAAAUGUUGGGAUUUGGAUGUACAGUAGAAGAUUGGAUUUAAAAUUUUUACAUACAUAUAUUCAAUGAUUGAAAACAUAAUAUCCGAGUCUAAUCACAAGAUCAUCUUGAUGAUUACAAUCAAGUACAAAGAAAAUAAUCAAACAAGAGGGAAAAAUAUGUAUACCUCCAGG
rnacentral:lncRNA from 1 species